GACGUUACAUAUGAUGUAGGAGCCUGAGAAUUCCAGAAGAUUUGGGAAAUGUCCAUGGAAAUAGCUCAUCCAGUACUACCUCCACCUCACACCUUUGACUACCAAAAGCAAGUAGGGAGGACUGUCUAUGGCGAUAAUACCCCUCAUCAACAAGAAAAUGAUAGAAUUCUAAAAUUGGAAAGUAGGCUUCUCUAAAGUACCUUCAGAUCCCACUGGGUUAAAACUGUGAGAAGAAUGGGAGCAGUAAGGAUACACAGAUAUCUGAGAUCGAUGGUGAACUGAAGCAGAGCAGUAAAAGCCAAAGAAAGAGAACAAAUGCCGAGGCUGUGCACAAUAAAUAAAAUUCACUGGCUGCUUGGAAGACACAGCGGUUGAGUGUGUCCGAUGCUGAGUAAUCAGAG
rnacentral:lncRNA from 1 species